ACUCCUACGGGAGGCAGCAGUCGAGAAUAAUUCACAAUGGGGAACCGACUGAUGGUGCAACGCCGCGUGGAGGAUGAAGGCCCUAGGGUCGUAAACUCCUGUCAUUCGAGAGCAAGACCUGGGUGUUAACAGCACACAGGGUUGAUAGUAUCGAAAGAGGAAGGGACGGCUAACUUCGUGCCAGCAGCCGCGGUAAUACGAAGGUCCCGAGCGUUGUUCGGAAUCACUGGGCGUAAAGGGAGCGUAGGCGGUUCGGUAAGUCAGGUGUGAAAUCCCGGGGCUCAA
rnacentral:rRNA from 1 species